rnacentral:rRNA from 1 species
UACAGAGACUGCAAGCGUUGUUCGGAUUCAUUGGGCGUAAAGGGUCCGCAGGCGGUGUGUUAAGUCGGAUGUGAAAUCUCACAGCCUAACUGUGAUAGGUCAUUCGAAACUGACAUGCUAGAGGGAUGGAGAGGAAACUGGAAUUGCUGGUGUAGCGGUGAAAUGCGUAGAGAUCAGCAAGAACACCGGUGGCGAAGGCGAGUUUCUGGACAUUUCCUGACGCUCAGGGACGAAAGCCAGGGGAGCAAACGGG